CCUACGGGAGGCAGCAGUGGGGAAUAUUGGACAAUGGGCGGAAGCCUGAUCCAGCAACGCCGCGUGAGGGAUGACGGCCUUCGGGUUGUAAACCUCUUUCAGUACCGACGAAGCGCCCGUUGUGGGUGGUGACGGUAGGUACAGAAGAAGCACCGGCCAACUACGUGCCAGCAGCCGCGGUAAUACGUAGGGUGCGAGCGUUGUCCGGAAUUAUUGGGCGUAAAGGGCUCGUAGGCGGUUUGUCGCGUCGGGAGUGAAAACACCGGGCUUAACUCGGUGCCUGCUUUCGAUACGGGCAGACUAGAGGUAUGCAGGGGAGAACGGAAUUCCUGGUGUAGCGGUGAAAUGCGCAGAUAUCAGGAGGAACACCGGUGGCGAAGGCGGUUCUCUGGGCAUUACCUGACGCUGAGGAGCGAAAGUGUGGGGAGCGAACAGGAUUAGAUACCCUGGUAGUCCACACCGUAAACGUUGGGCGCUAGGUGUGGGGCCUAUUCCAUGGGUUCCGUGCCGCAGCUACGCAUAGCGCCCGCCGUCGGGAGGUACGGCCGCGACGGACGUAAACCUACAAUAGAAGUUAGACGGCGUGAGACGUCGCCGACGGACGACGACGACGGGAGGUAGG
rnacentral:rRNA from 1 species